GACGAACGCUGGCGGCGUGCUUAAUACAUGCAAGUCGAACGGAAAGGCCCUGCUUUUGUGCGGUUCUCGUGUGGCGGAGGCGGGAGUAACACGUGAGUAACCUGCCCCUGACUUUGGGAUAACUUCAGGAAACUGGGGCUAAUAUCGGGUAGGAGCUCCUGCUGCAUGGUGUUGGUUGGUAAGUUUCGGCGGUUGUGGCUGGUCUCGAGGGUUAUCAGCUUGUUUGUGGGGUAGUGGCUUACCAAGGCUUUGACGGGUAGCCGGCCUGAGAGGGUGACCGGCCACAAUGGGACUGAGAUAGGGCGCAGACGCCUACGGGAGGCAGCAGUGGGGAAUAUUGCAGAAUAGGCGGACGCCUGAUGCAGAGACGCCGCGUGCGUGAUGACGGCUUUCGGGUUGUGAACCGCUUUCGCCUGUGACGAAGCGUGAGUGACGGUAAUGGGUAAAGAAGCACCGGCUAACUACGUG
rnacentral:rRNA from 1 species